AUUAGGGAUUUCUUUGAGAAACAGAAAGGGUUUUGUCUAGCAGUCUGACACACUGCUGCUGUCGGCAUGGCUCAGAAUCCAUCCCCCUUGGAGCAGCUCCUUCAAGAGAGAAGAGCUUUCUCUUGAGGAGUUAAAGCUUUGUGGGGGAAGCAAAGGUGUGCAGAAGAAAUUUUUGUGGAAGAUCAACAGCUGGAGAGCUGUGGAUUCCAUCAUCCAGGUUAGGAAGUCAAGAGUUGAAGUCUCCCCAUGGGAAUAUAGACAUCCUGCUUGCUCCAGGACCAGGGGCCUAACCCCUGG
rnacentral:lncRNA from 1 species